rnacentral:rRNA from 1 species
AAUGGGCGAAAGCCUGAUGCAGCAACGCCGCGUGAGCGAUGAAGGCCUUCGGGUCGUAAAGCUCUGUCCUCAAGGAAGAUAAUGACGGUACUUGAGGAGGAAGCCCCGGUUAACUACGUGCCAGCAGCCGCGGUAAUACGUAGGGGGCUAGCGUUAUCCGGAAUUACUGGGCGUAAAGGGUGCGUAGGUGGUUUCUUAAGUCAGAGGUGAAAGGCUACGGCUCAACCGUAGUAAGCCUUUGAAACUGGGAAACUUGAGUGCAGGAGAGGAGAGUGGAAUUCCUAGUGUAGCGGUGAAAUGCGUAGAUAUUAGGAGGAACACCGAUGGCGAAGGCAGCCCCCUGGGCCAAUACUGACGCUCAUGCACGAAAGCGUGGGGAGCAAA